rnacentral:lncRNA from 1 species
AUGUAUUUGCAUAUUAGUAUUAAAACAUAUGUGUUGAUGUCGUUUAUUGCAAAUCUAAAUAUUUAAGUAUAUAUCGUUUCUUUUAAAGCGAGUCGAGUUGAACUGGCAUGAGUUGUAUUAAAGUCAAGUACGAGCUCAGUGGGGGAGACAUACAAGCCGAAACAAGCUAGCUUGUACAGUUUUGAGCUUGAUCCCGGAUUGAUGCUAGUUUGGCUUAGCUUGCUUGCUUGCUUGUUAAACAACCCCAGUCAUGACACAAUUUUAUAUAAAAUAUAUUAAGAACACAUGUAGCCAAAUUCUGCAACUAAACAGGCAUAAUAUAUAUGGUUAAUGCAAAUUUAUCCCAAAGUUUUUGAAUAAACCAUGUAUUGGAACUUAUUUGUAUACAUGGUGAACAAACUGAUUGUUUUGGGGAUAUGAUUCUUGAUACAUGACAAUAGACUUUAUUCAAUAGGGAUGAGAUGUUUGAGAAGUAAUUUAGGUUAUGUCUGUAUUUUAACAAAUAAUUUAUCUAUUAGCACAUAGGCCCUGUGAGGAAUAUACUAUAGUGCUUUAGCCGCAUUUAACAUAUUAUUAAUUUUACUUGGAUAAAGAUUUUACAACUUUGAUUUUUUGAGUAUUUUUUUCGGUUGUUAUAUCGAAUGUCGGUAGCGUAUCAGCAUCGUGAUGAAUCGAACCGAACUGAUACUGACCUUAUGGCGCGAGGAAAUCCCACUAGUACAUACAUCUAUUUUGGCUAUGAUGUCUAUACAUCAAUUUAAGAAGCCUUACCACCCUCAAGAUGCCAAUAGGCUAUAAUGCAAUGGGUUAUUUCUAUCAUUAAUAAAUUCAACAAUUUGUUUUUGUAAUUUUUGGCUUUUAAAUUACAAAAAUUUGAAUGCAUUUAAAGUUAAUGUUUUAAGUAUAUUUAUAAUUCUAUCAAGUUUAGUAUAUAUUUAUGCGGUAAACAAAU